GUGAGGAAUAUUGGUCAAUGGGCGGGAGCCUGAACCAGCCAAGUCGCGUGAAGGAAGAAGGAUCUAUGGUUCGUAAACUUCUUUUGCAGGGGAAUAAAGUGCAGGACGUGUCCUGUUUUGUAUGUACCCUGAGAAUAAGGAUCGGCUAACUCCGUGCCAGCAGCCGCGGUAAUACGGAGGAUCCGAGCGUUAUCCGGAUUUCUUGGGUUUAAAGGGUGCGUAGGUGGUUUGAUAAGUCAGCGGUGAAAGUUUGCAGCUUAACUGUAAAAAUGCCGUUGAAACUGUCGGACUUGAGUGUAAAUGAGGUAGGCGGAAUGCGUGGUGUAGCGGUGAAAUGCAUAGAUAUCACGCAGAACUCCGAUUGCGAAGGCAGCUUACUAAGCUACAACUGACACUGAAGCACGAAAGCGUGGGGAUCAAACAGGAUUAGAAACCCUGGUAGUCC
rnacentral:rRNA from 1 species